rnacentral:rRNA from 1 species
UUACGGGAGGCAGCAGUAGGGAAUCUUCCGCAAUGGACGAAAGUCUGACGGAGCAACGCCGCGUGAGUGAUGAAGGUUUUCGGAUCGUAAAGCUCUGUUGUUAGGGAAGAACAAGUACCGUUCGAAUAGGGCGGUACCUUGACGGUACCUAACCAGAAAGCCACGGCUAACUACGUGCCAGCAGCCGCGGUAAU